rnacentral:rRNA from 1 species
GACGGAAGGUGCAAGCGUUGCUCGGAAUCACUGGGCGUAAAGGGUGCGUAGGCGGCCGUGCAAGUCUGGCGUGAAAGCCCCGGGCUCAGCCCGGGAAGUGCGCUCGAAACUGCGCGGCUCGAGUGCCGGAGGGGAGAGUGGAAUUCCUGGUGUAGCGGUGAAAUGCGUAGAUAUCAGGAGGAAUACCGGUGGCGAAAGCGGCCUUCUGGACAGUGACUGACGCUGAGACGCGAAAGCGUGGGGAGCAAACAGG